GAUGAACGCUGGCGGCGUGCCUAAUACAUGCAAGUCGAGCGAACAGAUGAGGAGCUUGCUCCUCUGACGUUAGCGGCGGACGGGUGAGUAACACGUGGAUAACCUACCUAUAAGACUGGGAUAACUUCGGGAAACCGGAGCUAAUACCGGAUAAUAUAUUGAACCGCAUGGUUCAAUAGUGAAAGACGGUUUUGCUGUCACUUAUAGAUGGAUCCGCGCCGCAUUAGCUAGUUGGUAAGGUAACGGCUUACCAAGGCAACGAUGCGUAGCCGACCUGAGAGAGUGAUCGGCCACACUGGAACGGGGACACGGUCCAGACUCCUACGGGAGGCAGCAGUAGGGAAUCUUCCGCAAUGGGCGAAAGCCUGACGGAGCAACGCCACGUGAGUGAUGAAGGUCUUCGGAUCGUAAAACUCUGUUAUUGGGGAAGAACAAAUGUGUAAGUAACUAUGCACGUCUUGACGGUACCUAAUCAGAAAGCCACGGCUAACUACGUG
rnacentral:rRNA from 1 species